GGAAUUCGCCCUUAGAGUUUGAUCCUGGCUCAGGAUGAACGUUGGCGGUGUGCCUAAUACAUGCAAGUCGAACGGUGACGAUUUUGUAGCAAUACGAAUGAAAUCAUAGUGGCGAACGGGUGAGUAACGCGUUGGUGAUCUGCCUCGAAGUGUGGAAUAACUUCCCGAAAGGGUAGCUAAUACCGCAUAGUCUCUCAAGGUUUAGAAAAUUGAGAGUAAAGGAUUUAUUCGCUUCGAGAGGAGCCUGCGUCCCAUCAGCUAGUUGGUAGGGUAAUAGCCUACCAAGGCAAUGACGGGUAGGGGACCUGAGAGGGUGGCCCCCCACAAUGGAACUGAAACACGGUCCAUACACCUACGGGUGGCAGCAGUAGGGAAUAUUAGAAAUGGGCGAAAGCCUGAUCUAGCAACACCGCGUGUGCGAUGAAGGCCUUCGGGUUGUAAAGCACUUUUUGGAGGGAAUAGGAAGGAAGGUACCUCCAGAAUAAGUCUCGGCUAACUACGUGCCAGCAGCCGCGGUAACACGUAGGAGGCAAACGUUAUCCGGAUUCACUGGGCGUAAAGCGCGUGUAGGUGGUUCUGUAAGUAGGGCGUGAAAGCUCCCGGCUCAACUGGGAGAGGCCGUACUAAACUGCAGAGCUAGAGGAUGGUAGAGGGAGGUGGAAUUCCAGGUGUAGUGGUGAAAUGCGCAGAUAUCUGGAGGAACACCAGUGGCGAAGGCGGCCUCCUGGACCAUUCCUGACACUCAGACGCGAAAGCUAGGGUAGCAAACAAAAGGAGAGACUCCGGUAGUCCUAGCCCUAAACGAUGCAGACUAGGCGUCGGCGGUUUAAUCACCGUCGGUGUCCAAGCUAACGCGAUAAGUCUGCCGCCUGAGGACUACGGCCGCAAGGCUAAAACUCAAAGGAAUUGACGGGGGCCCGCACAAGCAGCGGAGCAUGUGGUUUAAUUCGAAGCAACGCGAAGAACCUUACCUAGACUUGACAUCUCCUGCAUUACUCUUAAUCGAGGAAGUCUCUUCUGAGACAGGAUGACAGGUGGUGCAUGGUUGUCGUCAGCUCGUGUCGUGAGAUGUUGGGUUAAGUCCCGCAACGAGCGCAACCCCUAUUGUUAGUUGCCAUCAUUAAGUUGGGCACUCUAGCGAGACUGCCCGGGUUAACCGGGAGGAAGGUGGGGAGGACGUCAAAUCAUCAUGCCCCCUAUGUCUAGGGCUACACACGUGCUACAAUGGUCGGUACAAUAAGACGCAAGCCCGCGAGGGGGAGCAAAACUGGAAAACCGAUCUCAGUUCGGAUUGUAGGCUGAAACUCGCCUACAUGAAGCUGGAGUUGCUAGUAAUCGCGAAUCAGCAUGUCGCGGUGAAUAAGUUCCCGGGCCUUGCACACACCGCCCGUCA
rnacentral:rRNA from 1 species